UACGUAGGUGACAAGCGUUGUCCGGAUUUACUGGGCGUAAAGGGCGCGUAGGCGGCCUUCUAAGUCGAACGUGAAAUCCCCGGGCUCAACCCGGGAACUGCGUCCGAUACUGGAAGGCUUGAAUUCGGGAGAGGGAUGCGGAAUUCCAGGUGUAGCGGUGAAAUGCGUAGAUAUCUGGAGGAACACCGGUGGCGAAGGCGGCAUCCUGGACCGGCAUUGACGCUGAGGCGCGAAAGCCAGGGGAGCAAACGGG
rnacentral:rRNA from 1 species